GUGUGUGUGUGUAUUGGUUUUAUUAAGGCAUAAUUGACAAAGAUUAAUCUUUGUCAAUUAUGCCUUAAUAAAACCAAUAGACAU
rnacentral:miRNA from 1 species